rnacentral:misc_RNA from 1 species
GAAAUGCGAUAAGUAAUGUGAAUUGCAGAAUUCAGUGAAUCAUCGAAUCUUUGAACGCACCUUGCGCUCCUUGGUAUUCCUUGGAGCAUGCCUGUUUGAGUAUCAUGAAAUCUUCAAAGUAAAUCUUUUGUUAACUCAAUUGGUUUCUACUUUGGUAUUGGAGGUCUUUGCAGCUUCACACCUGCUCCUCUUUGUUCAUUAGCUGGAUCUCAGUGUUAUGCUUGGUUCCACUCGGCGUGAUAAGUUAUCUAUCGCUGAGGACACUGUAAAAGGUGGCCAAGGUAAAUGCAGAUGAACCGCUUCUAAUAGUCCAUUGACUUGGACAAUACUUUUAUGAUCUGAUCUCGAAUCAGGUAGGAAUACCCGCUGAACUUAAGC